ensembl:lncRNA
CAUUUUAAAAUUUAUUUUUUUAGGAGUUCCUGUUGUGGCGCAGUGGUUAACGAAUCCGACUAGGAACCAUGAGGUUGAGGGUUCGGUCCCUGCCCUUGCUCAGUGGGUUAAUGAUCCGGCGUUGCCGUGAGCUGUGGUGUAGGUCUCAGAUGAGGCUCGGAUCUUGCGUUGCUGUGGCUGUGGCAUAGGCUGGCGGCUACAGCUCUGAUUAGACCCCUAGCCUGGGAACCUCCACAUUCAGAGGGAUCGGCCCAAGAAAUGGCAAAAAGACAAAAAAAAAAUUUUAUUUAUUUAUUUUUUUAUGGCCAUACACGUGGCAUAGGGAGGUUCCCAGGCUAGGGGUCCAGUCGGAGCUACAGCUGCCGGCCUACACCACAGCCACAGCAAUGCAGGAUCUGAGCUGUGUCUGUGACCUACACCACAGCUCAUGGCAACGCCAGAUCCUUACCCCACUGAGCAAGGCCAGGGAUUGAACCCGCUACCUCAUGACUCCUAGUUGGAUUCAUUUCCGCUGUGCCACGAUGGGAACUCCUCUUUUACAUUUUUCCAUGUUCUUUCUAUAAACUUGUAGAGGAGUGGGGACAAGAGGGCUGUGGGCAAGGAGUCCUGUGGGCAGCGUGUGCUGGAGCCCGGGUGAGCAGAGAAGCCCUGGGGAGGUUUCAGGCCUGCAGCCAUUGAGCCCCAGGCCGCUUGCUUCAUUCUUGGCCACCUGUCGGGCUUCCUUUUCUUCCUUCACAGGCCCUGGGCCUUGGCCUUCCCGCCUCUUCCUUCUCUUGGGGUCCCCCCACCUCCCCGCUGUCUGCAGGGACACAGUGUCUCCAGGCCUUCUUUCCUUGCUGCUGCAGAGGUGGGUGUGUGGACUUUUCUGUCGACCACAAUGGAUAAAACUAACAAAGGUGUUUGUGGCCAAGAGCAGUGAAGGACUGGCCCCUCAGAAGUGCACGCCCAGCCCUGCUUAGUCCCAGUUCUAGGAUUGGUGGCAGAAAUGAAAAAUCUGAAGUCCUGAGGAAAAAACCAAAGGAGUCACAUCCCUGGGGAUCCCGUGAGGCCCUCCCUUCGAGUUAAAUCUGGUGCCAUCUUGGAAGCAGCACUUUAGCACAAAGGCAGCCGUUUCCAGGUAUUAGUGGGGCAAGUUGAGAUCUUUUGGUUAAUUUACCAAGAACCAAACCUCGAUCACUCCAUAUCCAGGAAUAGCCACUCUGCUCCAAGAGCAAACUUGGCUGUAUUCAGCCUCUGCUGGAGAGGCUUGUCUUAGCUCGUCAGAGGUCUUUACAGACACCCAAGUGUGUCAACAGAGAACCACCAGAGUGCCCAUACCAGCAGUUAAAAAGCAGACAGUCUAUUUAAAGAAAUGUCUAUUAGAGAUGCUAAUUUUCUUAAGUGGGAAGCCAGAGUGCCAGAUAUGGGGAGACACGCUGGGGUUAUCUAGAAGUGCUGAUAGGACACCUCAUCCCUAAAUGUUUGCCUCCAAAAAUGAAGUAUACAUAAACUAAUGUGGUAAGAUGUUAAUUUUUAGAUUAUUUUCAUAAUCCACCCUUUAUUUGCUUUUUAGGGCUGUACCCGAGGCACAUGGAGGUUCCCAGGCUAGGGGUCGAAUCAGAGCUACAGCUGCCAGCUUACACCAGACACAGCAACACAGGCUCCAAGCCGCAUCUGUGACCUACACCACAGCUCACGGCAAUGCUGGAUCCUUAACCCACUGAGCAAGGUCAGGGAUCGAACCUGAAUCUUCAUGGAUCCGAGCCACAACAGGAAGACCCAAGAUGUUAAUAUUAACAUCAGUGAAUCCAGAGGAGGAAUAUACUGUUCAAAAUAUGUACUAUUACAGCUUUUUCACAGAAUUGAGAAGUUUGAACUAAACAGUGUGUAAUUUAACUUUUUCCAGAACGUGGAAUUUACCAUCUGGUUGAAGCAAUAAAAUACCUGGCCACUGACA